rnacentral:rRNA from 1 species
GACGAACGCUGGCGGCGUGCUUAACACAUGCAAGUCGAACGGAAAGGCCUGCUUUCUUUUGUGGAUUGUGGGUACUCGAGUGGCUAACGGUUGAGUAACACGUGAGUGAUCUGCCCCCAACUUGUGUAUUAGCCUGGGAAACUGGGUCUAAUUCCCGAUAGCACUGCAGGGUGGUGCCUCUGGUGGAAUCCGAUUUUCUAGUGGUUGCGGAUGAGCUCGCGGCCUAUCAGCGUGUUGGUGGGGUAAUGGCCUACCAAGGCGGCGACGCGUAGCCGGCUUGAGAGGGUGGACGGCAACAUUGGGACAGAGACACGGACAAGACGAAAAGCGGAGGCAGCAGUAGGGAAGAUUGGAAAAUGGGCGGAAGCCUGACGCAGAGAGGCCGCGUGGGGGAUGACGGCCUUGGGGUUGAAAACUCCUUUCGAACGGGAGGAAGCAGCGUGGUUGGAAGGGUGGUGACGGUAGUGGUAGAAGAAGCACCGGCUAACUACGUG